rnacentral:rRNA from 1 species
UACGUAGGGCGCAAGCGUUAUCCGGAAUUAUUGGGCGUAAAGAGCUCGUAGGCGGUUUGUUGCGUCGGCUGUGAAAUCCCGAGGCUCAACCUCGGGUCUGCAGUCGAUACGAGCAAACUAGAGUGUUGCAGGGGAGACUGGAAUUCCUGGUGUAGCGGUGAAAUGCGCAGAUAUCAGGAGGAACACCAGUAGCGAAGGCGGCACUCUGGGCCGGUACUGACGCUGAGGAGCGAAAGCGUGGGGAGCGAACAGG